GGAGACGCAGCAGUGCCAGGGACAAGGAGGAGUCGACCUGGGGGUAGCACAGCCCACCAAGGCACAGCUGGAGCAGCACCCAGGUGCUUCUGACUCCGGCAUGGAGGAAGCGCCCGCUUUCUCGGCCCAGGCCCGCAGCCAGGGCUGCUCCGCCCGCUGCGCCCCAGGUAAGCCGGGCCAGCGUGGGGGAGAAGCGGGGCCUGGGCUGCGGAUGGGGCUGCCCUGACCCGCAUCUGCCCCCAGGGCAAAAGCCCCGCAAGGCCGUGUGAGCUGGAGCCGUCAGCCUGAGGACCUCUUUUAAGAUGACCCAUACGGACGCUCCGGACCUGCUGGUGUCGACCGUGUACCAGGACAUCAAGGUGGCGACCCCGGGACCCACGUCCAAGCGCUCGCCAUGUGAGCGAUCCGUGGCCCGGCCUGCUGAGCUCGCGCCUUUCAACAAGCGCCACUGCCCCAGCUUCGACUUCCUGGAGGCGCUGGACCGGCCAACCAUGGAGACCCUGCCGGAGCCACCGCCCCCGGAGCCCGCUGUGCGCGCGCCCGGACCCGCGAGGCCGAGCCACGCCGCCGCGCCCGCUCCAAGAGCGCGCCCCCGGGCCUGACGCCCGCGCCCGCCUUGCCGCCCGUGUUGCCCCCGC
rnacentral:lncRNA from 1 species